rnacentral:rRNA from 1 species
CUAAGGUCCCAAAGUCAUGGUUAAGUGGGAAACGAUGUGGGAAGGCCCAGACAGCCAGGAUGUUGGCUUAGAAGCAGCCAUCAUUUAAAGAAAGCGUAAUAGCUCACUGGUCGAGUCGGCCUGCGCGGAAGAUGUAACGGGGCUAAACCAUGCACCGAAGCUGCGGCAGCGACACUAUGUGUUGUUGGGUAGGGGAGCGUUCUGUAAGCCUGUGAAGGUGUACUGUGAGGUAUGCUGGAGGUAUCAGAAGUGCGAAUGCUGACAUAAGUAACGAUAAAGCGGGUGAAAAGCCCGCUCGCCGGAAGACCAAGGGUUCCUGUCCAACGUUAAUCGGGGCAGGGUGAGUCGACCCCUAAGGCGAGGCCGAAAGGCGUAGUCGAUGGGAAACAGGUUAAUAUUCCUGUACUUGGUGUUACUGCGAAGGGGGGACGGAGAAGGCUAUGUUGGCCGGGCGACGGUUGUCCCGGUUUAAGCGUGUAGGCUGGUUUUCCAGGCAAAUCCGGAAAAUCAAGGCUGAGGCGUGAUGACGAGGCACUACGGUGCUGAAGCAACAAAUGCCCUGCUUCCAGGAAAAGCCUCUAAGCAUCAGGUAACAUCAAAUCGUACCCCAAACCGACACAGGUGGUCAGGUAGAGAAUACCAAGGCGCUUGAGAGAACUCGGGUGAAGGAACUAGGCAAAAUGGUGCCGUAACUUCGGGAGAAGG